CGAAAACCUUACCCACCUUUGACAUGGCAGGAAUACCUAAGAGAUUGGAGUGCUCGAAAGAGAACCUGCACACAGGUGCUGCAUGGCUGUCGUCAGCUCGUGUCGUGAGAUGUUGGGUUAAGUCCCGCAACGAGCGCAACCCUUGCCAUUAGUUGCUACGAAAGGGGCACUCUAAUGGGACUGCCGGUGACAAACCGGAGGAAGGUGGGGAUGACGUCAAGUCCUCAUGGCCCUUAUAGGUGGGGCUACACACGUCAUACAAUGGCCGGUACAGAGGGUAGCCAACCCGCGAGGGGGAGCCAAUCCCACAAAGCCGGUCGUAGUCCGGAUCGCAGUCUGCAACUCGACUGCGUGAAGUCGGAAUCGCUAGUAAUCGCGGAUCAGCAUGUCGCGGUGAAUACGUUCCCGGGUCUU
rnacentral:rRNA from 1 species